GGAGGUUUUGCUUCACUCCAGGUUAGUUCUAUUUGUGUGUGUGUGGCACAUUUUAGGGCUUUGAAAGGGUUUUAGGGAUUCUAACUUCCAAGUGUUUUGAAUUGAUUUCAUGCUUUUCUUGUUGUUGUAAUAAGAAGUAAGUGUUAGGAUUUUUGUAGUUGUGCUACUAUAAAUAUAGAAAUCGAGUUGUACUUUGGGUAUCAAUCAAAUAAGAAUUCAAUCUCU
rnacentral:misc_RNA from 1 species